GUUUGGUUUUCUUUGGCAGAGCAGAGGGAGGUUACCAUGGAGUUACCUAUGGAUGGGAGCGCAGGAAACCCAGAGCGCUCCGAGAGGAGGCUGGGGAGCAGCAAGGUGACGGCAUCUGCGUGCCGUGCAUCGCCUGGGAAGGCACCCAGAAUAAAAAACAGUGACCGAGGAGAAGGCUGAGGGGCUGCAGGGAGUUCCCCAGGGGCUGUGCCGCCCGCGGGGGAGGGCAGAGGGCAGGGAAGGGGGACGCGGUGUGCCCGGCACCGUGGGGCACGGGGCGAGGCUGCCCUCGGGGAUCUCCGCCGGCGGGGGGGGGGGCGCAGCCCGACAACCCCGGGGCUCCCCGGGACGCCCCCCCCGGUGCUCAGCCGUCGGGGCAGCGGCCCCGGCGGGGGGGGAGCGGUCCCGGCGGGGCUCCGCGCCCCCGCCCCCGGCUCCGCCCCGCUCCGCGCCGCCGCCGCUCGCCCCGCAGAGCCGCGCACAGCGCCCGGUGCCGCCGCCGCACCUGGCAGCCGCCCGGCACCGGCACCGGGACCGGCUCCGGGACCGCCGCCGCCGGCCGGAGGGAGCGGGGAGCCCCGGCGGCUAUGGCGGGCCGGGGGCGGCCGGUGCCGGCUGCGCGCUGAGCCGGGGCUGCUCGGCCGCUGCUGCCGGCGGGCUGGGCGCUGCGGCAACCGGGCACCGGGCGGCGGCCAGGAGCCAUGGGGGGGGCGGCGGCGGCGGCGGCGGCCAGCGGGGACCCGGCCCUGCCCGCCCGCCGCGCCGCCCGCCUCAGGCCCCGCUGGUAACGGAGGGAGAGCGGCCGGAGCCCAGCCCUGUGGUACCUGGAGGACGCUUUUGCUCGCUGGCACCGAGGGACAAAGCCUCGAGCUCUCAGCUCUGCCUCGUGCUCGCAGCGCGCCGCCAACACCGGUCCUUCCCCACGCCCGCGGCAAUCGGCAGCAGAGCGCUCCGGAUUCGGACCUGUGAGUGAAGUGUUGUUCGCCAGGGCAGCUCCAACCCACGGGCGCCGCGUUUCUGUGGUGAACAAGCGUUUUUGUCAGAACAAAGUAGGUUGCUGCCUUGCAGAACCUCCAGCCUGCGUGGAGCAGGGCGCGGGGCCCUGGGGCGCAGCAGCUGGCUGUGGGGACGGGGAGGGGGUCUGGGAAUGAAGAGGGGUGCUGGGACACCCCAGGAGGAGCUCGUGCGGGUGGUGGCUCGGAGCCUGCAGCAGCAGGAGUGCAGGAGAGCUGCAGGAUUGGUGCCCAGCGAGGCUGGGAACAUUUCUGAGCUGCUCGCUGUUCUCUGUCUCUUUUAAAUUAAUCAGGAGCUGGCCUCAGCAGCCAGUCAAUAGCGAGAUUUAUCUCUUAAAUAGCAUUAUUGAUUGCUUGGGGAGCCUGGUUUUGUAUUGAUAGAUAUGUACACGUGCAGACAAGCCCCGUGCCAGCUCCUGGUGGGGAAAGGCACGGAGCGGGCUGCGCGAGGCUGCUCCUUACAGGUGGGGUCACACGUGUGCCCGCCCGAUGGAGACACAGCUCCCUGCCAGAGAGCACAGUGGGGUCCCCAGGGGUCUUUGGGUACAAACCCUUCCGCAUCCAUCCACCGUCUUGCCCAGUCUUGAGCCUUUUUCCUGCUCUCCCCGUGCUGUCUCCCUCCCUAUGAAGGGGUCUUCCCACAACUUGCACGGAGUCCUGAAAGGUCCCUGACCCUGGAGGGGUCUCUGUGUGGGGACACUGGGGUAGACGUGCAAAGCUAAGCCUGUGCUGGAGCAUCGCCCAGAGGGGCCAGUUAGAGGAAGAUAAGCAAGGUGGGGUGCACCUGACCCCCAGAGAGGGGUCAAUUUGGGCUGCUCCCAGGGCCCUCGGCUGGGGCUGUGAGCCGACGCGUGCAGGAAGCGCCGUGGGACCUGGCUGGGCUCCGAGCAGGUGGAGCCGUGGGAGUAUCACGGGGAGACAGCUCGCUGCCCAUCUGCUGCUGGGAAGGCAAAGCGUGCCGGUGCUCCUGAGCCUCCAGGUAACGGGAACCGGGCUGUGGGGGCUUCACCGGUGGCAUCUCCCUGGGCUUCCCUGUGCCUCUUGUCCCUGGGAGGUGGCAGAGCGCUUCCAGCCGCAGAGCGGUGGCACUGCCUCCGGGUCCCAUUGCCUGGCUGCCUGCACCGGGUGCUGUUGCUGUGCCACAGGAGAAGGGGCAGGAGCAGGGGAUGCAGAACCGGGUUGCCCCCAGCUGGGCUUGGUGUUGGGAGGGACUGGCUGCAGGCAGUCCCACCAUGUGGGGGUGGUUUGGGUGCUCCUGGCCCCGGAUGCGCCCCUACGGCCCCACCUGAGAGCCCCACUUCUCUGGUUCAAGCAGCCGGGGUGGGUCUGGGACCUCGGCAUCUCCUGCUCCUGGCAGUGUGGCUGCAGCACCUGGGGGAGGAUGGUGCUGGCAGGAGCAGGGCCAGGGGCCAUCUCGUGGCCCAAGCUGUUGUCCUUUUAGCUCCGGGCAGCGCCUCAAGGCUCACCCCAAAGCAGCACCGUGUGCUCGGGCAGCGCUGCUGUCCUCCAGGGUCGUGGAGCACAGCCAAGGUGCAGUGCUGCUCGUGAGACGAAUUGCAAAAGCUCUCGCCAGUUUUGCCGGAGCAAACUUCACGCUGUGGCCGUUUUGCCUUGGUGCUGCAGAGCCUGCUGCCGAGCCCUGCCCGCUGCCAGCCUGGCUGCCCUCAGCACCUGUGCGCCACCGUGCACGGGGCUCCUGGCCCCAAACCUCGCGCCCAGCCUCGCAGUGGCAGCAGAGGCUGGGACGAGCAUCAGCUGAGCUGCCACGGGGGAUCUGUAGGGGUCGGAUCACCAACGGCUUGGGUCUGGGAAAAGCUGCGUGUGCUUGUCACUGUUUAAUUAAUCAGCAGCCAUGGGAAGUUCUUGGGUGCUGCCGUGCCUUUGUGCAUGUGUGUAUUUCCAUACAUAUACGUAGCACCAUGGCAUCUCGGUAACGCUUGGACCCCUUCAGCGUUUUUCCAGACAAUGUCUGCCCGCAGCGAGCGCCCAGUCCACCUGAUCUCGGCAAGCCAAUCUACGCAGGGAUCUUGGGGAAGAACAGUUGGGGUUUUAUGAAGCUGGCAUAAUUUACAGCUAAAAUAGCACACCAGAAAUAUGUCCAAUCCAAUCUCCUUUGUAAUCUUGUUUUCAUUUAAGCCUGCAGGCUGAUGGAGGGGGGGAGGCAGGGAAGCAAACUGCGAAGGGAGUUUAUUACCCGUGUCAGGGAGAUUUGCGCGGUGCUCCGUCCGGAGCGACCUCAAUUUGCAGGGGUUGCGGCUGGCUGGGGGGCUCCCGGCCCCGAGGGGCUUCUCCUGCCCGGGCUGGGGCCGCAGCCCCUGCUGCGGGGGGCUCGAGGCGCGCGCCGUGGAGCAGCUCCAGCGCCUGCUCCCGCAGCUGGGCAGGCAGAGCUAUUGCAAUGUCUCGGCGAGCACUGCGCUCGUGAUGUCCUGGCCAGCUCACCGUGAAAAGGAAUGAAAUUAUCUCGCUGCUGCUGCCUUUGCGGGUUGCGUUUCUCUUUAGUUUUCAAACCACAGAUUGUCCCAGAUCUCCUGCCAAUAGCAGGGAGCUAACUGAUAAUGCAGCUGCUAUUAAUAAAGCGGUGUUGUUACAUAUUCAUAUCAAUCAGACUUCUAAUUCCAC
rnacentral:lncRNA from 1 species